CCUACGGGUGGCAGCAGUGAGGGAUAUUGGUCAAUGGACGAAACUCUGAACCAGCAACGCCGCGUGAAGGAAGACGGUUUUCGGAUUGUUAAACUCUGUCCUCUGUGAAGUUAAUGACGGUAGCAGAGGAGGAAGCUCCGUCUAACUACGUUCCAGCAGCCGCGGUAAUACGUAGGGAGCCAGCGUUGUCCGGAUUUACUGGGUGUAAAGGGUGCGUAGGCGGCCCUGCAAGUCAGAAGUGAAAUCCAUGGGCUUAACCCGUGAACUGCUGUUGAAACUGUAGGGCUUGAGUGAAGUAGAGGCAGGCGGAAUUCGCGGUGUAGCGGUGAAAUGCGUAGAGAUCGGGAAGAACACCAGUGGCGAAGGCGGCUUGCUGGGCUUUAACUGACGCUGAAGCACGAAAGCGUGGGUAGCAAACAGGAUUAGAUACCCUGGUAGUC
rnacentral:rRNA from 1 species